rnacentral:rRNA from 1 species
UACGUAGGGUGCAAGCGUUGUCCGGAAUUAUUGGGCGUAAAGAGCUCGUAGGCGGUCUGUCGCGUCGGCUGUGAAAACCUGGGGCUUAACUCCGGGCCUGCAGCCGAUACGGGCAGACUAGAGUUCGGCAGGGGAGACUGGAAUUCCUGGUGUAGCGGUGAAAUGCGCAGAUAUCAGGAGGAACACCGGUGGCGAAGGCGGGUCUCUGGGCCGAUACUGACGCUGAGGAGCGAAAGCAUGGGGAGCGAACAGG